GGUUUUUCGUAAAGGUAUGUUUUCUCCUCCCCUCCAUCUCCUCGCCACGAUAUACUAACGUAAUUAUAGUGAACCUGCGGAAGGAUCAUUAAUGAGUAAGGGUCUCGACUUAUACAGAGCCCGACCUCCAACCCUUUGUCUACCUUACCAAUGUUGCUUCGGCGAGCCCGCUUUUCACGAGGCCGCCGGAGGGUCGUCACACGCCCUCUGGUCAGUGCUCGCCGGUGGCCCCAACUAAAACUCUUGUUAAGAACCUGUCUGAGUAUUAAAAAACAAAUAAGUAAAAACUUUCAACAACGGAUCUCUUGGUUCUGGCAUCGAUGAAGAACGCAGCGAAAUGCGAUAAGUAAUGUGAAUUGCAGAAUUCAGUGAAUCAUCGAAUCUUUGAACGCACAUUGCGCCCUUUGGCAUUCCGAAGGGCAUGCCUGUUCGAGCGUCAUUACACCAAUCACGCCUGGCGUGGAUGGGGGCGACGGGGCCCCACCGCCCCGCGCCCCAAAGACCCCGGCGAGACGGACCGAAUCUCAGCGUUGUGGAAACAGGCCGCUGGCGAGACGGGACGGCUGCGCCGCUAAACACCCCCCAUCACAGGUUGACCUCGGAUCACGUAGGGAUACCCGCUGAACUUAAGCAUAUCAUAAAGCGGGAGGAA
rnacentral:rRNA from 1 species